rnacentral:tRNA from 1 species
GGGGUUGUGGCUCAGUGGUGGAGCACUUGCCUUGCAUGCAUGAGACUCUGGAUUUGAUCCUCAGCACCA